UACGUAGGGUGCAAGCGUUGUCCGGAAUUAUUGGGCGUAAAGAGCUCGUAGGCGGUCUGUCGCGUCUGCUGUGAAAAUCCAGGGCUCAACCCUGGACCUGCAGUGGGUACGGGCAGACUAGAGUGCGGUAGGGGAGAUCGGAAUUCCUGGUGUAGCGGUGAAAUGCGCAGAUAUCUGGAGGAACACCGGUGGCGAAGGCGGCGUUCUGGACUGCAACUGGACACUGAGGAACGAAAGCCAGGGAGCGAAACGGGA
rnacentral:rRNA from 1 species